UACACCACUAUUAAGCAAUUCUAUGCCUACUAUAGAAAAUUUUAUGUUAAAACUAGUAACAAGAAGCUAUACUUCUCUUAAAUGCAAACACACAUCAAACUGGACAAACCAUCGAUAAAUAACAUUUAUACAUUUCUAGUAGUAACCAAACAAGAAAAUUCUACUUCCCUUAAUGUUAACCUAACACAAGAGCAUUACAAGAAAGAUUAAAAGAAAAAGAAGGAACUCGGCAAACAUUGACCCCGCCUGUUUACCAAAAACAUCGCCUCUUGCCUCAUAUAAGAGGUCCAGCCUUGCCCAGUGACACUGUUCAACGGCCGCGGUAUCCUAACCGUGCGAAGGUAGCGUAAUCACUUGUUCUUUAAAUGAGGACUAGUAUGAAAGGCAUCACGAGAGUCAUACUGUCUCCUUUCUCUAAUCAGUGAAACUAAUCCCCCCGUGAAGAAGCGAGGAUAAAAAUAUAAGACGAGAAGACCCUAUGGAGCUUUAAACAAAUGAUACUUACCAACCUUUAUUAAAUUUCAGAAAAAUUUCCCUAUUUUGGUAUUAUAAUUAUUAGUUUUUGGUUGGGGUGACCACGGAAUAAAAAACAACUUCCGCAAUGAAAACACUUCACUUAGUUAAGGACUACAAUCCUAUUCAUCAACAAAUUGACAUUAUUGACCCAACUCGUUGAUCAAUGAACCAAGUUACCCUAGGGAUAACAGCGCAAUCCACUUCAAGAGCUCCUAUCGACAAGUGGGUUUACGACCUCGAUGUUGGAUCAGGGUGUCCAAGUGGUGUAGCCGCUACUAAAGGUUCGUUUGUUCAACGAUU
rnacentral:rRNA from 1 species